AAAUUGAAGAGUUUGAUCAUGGCUCAGAUUGAACGCUGGCGGCAGGCCUAACACAUGCAAGUCGAACGGUAACAGGAAGCAGCUUGCUGCUUCGCUGACGAGUGGCGGACGGGUGAGUAAUGUCUGGGAAACUGCCUGAUGGAGGGGGAUAACUACUGGAAACGGUAGCUAAUACCGCAUAAUGUCGCAGGACCAAAGAGGGGGACCUUCGGGCCUCUUGCCAUCAGAUGUGCCCAGAUGGGAUUAGCUUGUUGGUGAGGUAACGGCUCACCAAGGCGACGAUCCCUAGCUGGUCUGAGAGGAUGACCAGCCACACUGGAACUGAGACACGGUCCAGACUCCUACGGGAGGCAGCAGUGGGGAAUAUUGCACAAUGGGCGCAAGCCUGAUGCAGCCAUGCCGCGUGUAUGAAGAAGGCCUUCGGGUUGUAAAGUACUUUCAGCGGGGAGGAAGGGGAUAAGGCUAAUAACCUUGUU
rnacentral:rRNA from 1 species